AAGUCGUAACAAGGUUUCCGUAGGUGAACCUGCGGAAGGAUCAUUAAAGAAAUACGGUGGACUCCCAUGUGGGACGAAGCCUUUUCUCUAUUCCACCCCUUUGUGAACCACCGCGUGAGCUAGUAGGGGGCGCCUCGGCGCCUUUGAAGGCUCGCGACCUUUUAUCAUACACCCUUAGAAAGUCCCAGAAUGUACCUUUGCGUCUAACGCAUGAAAUACAACUUUCAGCAACGGAUCUCUUGGCUCUC
rnacentral:misc_RNA from 1 species